rnacentral:lncRNA from 1 species
CUCUUUAAAUCAUUAUAGUUUUUUUCUGGACGUUUUUUAGAUUUACAAAGAAUAUUUGGUGUAGGAAGGACAAACACGUUGUUCCUCUCCUACUGGGCUGGCUAGAUAAUUAGAAGACUGAAUAUCAGAGGUUACUGAAGAGUCACUUUCUUUUUUGGUUUCUGGAAACUAAUUGUCAGCUUUGACUCCGCUUUUCAGAAACAUGGUGGGAGCUCAAGUGGCAGGCAAGCUGAGAGGCCCAGAGAGCCCAAGCCAUGAACUUCCCUUGGGGAAAGAGAGAUGCAGGUAUCUCAGCAUAAACUACAUCUUUCCAAGGGUAGUAACUGUGCCAGGAGAAUAUGUCCAGCUGCCUCUUAGUAAAGGGAUGAUAAACACCAGGCCAGGGAAUGUCCUUUAUUGGAAAAGACAGAUUAAAAAAUAGAUAAAAAAGAAGAGGAAAUGCUUGAUGUGCACUUGAAGAGCCUGGAUUUGUUCAAAUACAAGCAUGGAAACUGAGUGAUCUUCACAUUCAGAUCACAACUUCACUGUAAAGGAAAGGUCACUUUUGCUUGUGUUCUGGGGCAGCUUUUUCUCUUUUGUCCCCUUGGUAAGAUCUCUCCUUUUGUAUUAUUAUGGAUGUACCUUGGGUUUGAACAUUUCCUUUUUUCUUUUCUUUUUUUUUUUCAUACAGAGAACAGAUAUUUCAUCUUUUAAAAGAUUUACAAGAAAAAGAAAUAAUAUAUGCACCACUGUGGAAAAGCAUGUCUCUCUUCAUACCUUUGCAUUUUACAGGAAAAUAUGUCAUUCCUUUCAGAUCCAUGAAUUAAGAUGCACUAUUUUUUGCUGAAGGCUAUUUUAAAUUAGGCUAAUAAAUUGCUGCUCUCUGCCUUGCGUGAUAAUGCA